UGGGGAAUAUUGGACAAUGGGGGCAACCCUGAUCCAGCAAUGCCGCGUGUGUGAAGAAGGUCUUCGGAUUGUAAAGCACUUUCGACGGGGACGAUGAUGACGGUACCCGUAGAAGAAGCCCCGGCUAACUUCGUGCCAGCAGCCGCGGUAAUACGAAGGGGGCUAGCGUUGCUCGGAAUGACUGGGCGUAAAGGGCGUGUAGGCGGUUUACACAGUCAGAUGUGAAAUCCCCGGGCUUAACCUGGGAGCUGCAUUUGAUACGUGUAGACUAGAGUGUGAGAGAGGGUUGUGGAAUUCCCAGUGUAGAGGUGAAAUUCGUAGAUAUUGGGAAGAACACCGGUGGCGAAGGCGGCAACCUGGCUCAUGACUGACGCUGAGGCGCGAAAGCGUGGGGAGCAAACAGGAUUAGAUACCCUGGUAGUCCACGCUGUAAACGAUGU
rnacentral:rRNA from 1 species